rnacentral:rRNA from 1 species
GACGAACGCUGGCGGCGUGCCUAAUACAUGCAAGUCGAACGCUUUUUCUUUCACCGGAGCUUGCUCCAUCGAAAGAAAAAGAGUGGCGAACGGGUGAGUAACACGUGGGUAACCUGCCCAUCAGAAGGGGAUAACACUUGGAAACAGGUGCUAAUACCGUAUAACACUAUUUUCCGCAUGGAAGAAAGUUGAAAGGCGCUCUUGCGUCACUGAUGGGUGGACCCGCGGUGCAUUGGCUAGUUGGUGAGGUAACGGCUCACCAAGGCAACGAUGCAUAGCCGACCUGAGAGGUUGAUCGGCCACACUGGGACUGAGACACGGCCCAGACUCCUACGGGAGGCAGCAGUAGGGAAUCUUCGGCAAUGGACGAAAGUCUGACCGAGCAACGCCGCGUGAGUGAAGAAGGUUUUCGGAUCGUAAAACUCUGUUGUUAGAGAAGAACAAGGAUGAGAGUAAAAUGUUCAUCCCUUGACGGUAUCUAACCAGAAAGCCACGGCUAACUACGUGCCAGCAGCCGCCGUAA